UGACGAGCGGCGGACGGGUGAGUAAUGUCUGGGAAACUGCCUGAUGGAGGGGGAUAACUACUGGAAACGGUAGCUAAUACCGCAUAACGUCGCAAGACCAAAGUGGGGGACCUUCGGGCCUCAUGCCAUCAGAUGUGCCCAGAUGGGAUUAGCUAGUAGGUGGGGUAACGGCUCACCUAGGCGACGAUCCCUAGCUGGUCUGAGAGGAUGACCAGCCACACUGGAACUGAGACACGGUCCAGACUCCUACGGGAGGCAGCAGUGGGGAAUAUUGCACAAUGGGCGCAAGCCUGAUGCAGCCAUGCCGCGUGUGUGAAGAAGGCCUUCGGGUUGUAAAGCACUUUCAGCGGGGAGGAAGGCGAUAAGGUUAAUAACCUUGUCGAUUGACGUUACCCGCAGAAGAAGCACCGGCUAACUCCGUGCCAGCAGCCGCGGUAAUACGGAGGGUGCAAGCGUUAAUCGGAAUUACUGGGCGUAAAGCGCACGCAGGCGGUCUGUCAAGUCGGAUGUGAAAUCCCCGGGCUCAACCUGGGAACUGCAUUCGAAACUGGCAGGCUAGAGUCUUGUAGAGGGGGGUAGAAUUCCAGGUGUAGCGGUGAAAUGCGUAGAGAUCUGGAGGAAUACCGGUGGCGAAGGCGGCCCCCUGGACAAAGACUGACGCUCAGGUGCGAAAGCGUGGGGAGCAAACAGGAUUAGAUACCCUGGUAGUCCACGCCGUAAACGAUGUCGAUUUGGAGGUUGUGCCCUUGAGGCGUGGCUUCCGGAGCUAACGCGUUAAAUCGACCGCCUGGGGAGUACGGCCGCAAGGUUAAAACUCAAAUGAAUUGACGGGGGCCCGCACAAGCGGUGGAGCAUGUGGUUUAAUUCGAUGCAACGCGAAGAACCUUACCUGGUCUUGACAUCCACAGAACUUUCCAGAGAUGGAUUGGUGCCUUCGGGAACUGUGAGACAGGUGCUGCAUGGCUGUCGUCAGCUCGUGUUGUGAAAUGUUGGGUUAAGUCCCG
rnacentral:rRNA from 1 species